AGCGAACGCUGGCGGCAGGCCUAACACAUGCAAGUCGAGCGGUAGCACAGGAGAGCUUGCUCUCCGGGUGACGAGCGGCGGACGGGUGAGUAAUGUCUGGGAAACUGCCUGAUGGAGGGGGAUAACUACUGGAAAUGGUAGCUAAUACCGCAUAACGUCGCAAGACCAAAGAGGGGGACCUUCGGGCCUCUUGCCAUCAGAUGUGCCCAGAUGGGAUUAGCUAGUAGGUGGGGUAACGGCUCACCUAGGCGACGAUCCCUAGCGGGUCUGAGUUGAUGACCAGCCACACUGGAACUGAGACACGGUCCAGACUCCUACGGGAGGCAGCAGUGGGGAAUAUUGCACAAUGGGCGCAAGCCUGAUGCAGCCAUGCCGCGUGUAUGAAGAAGGCCUUCGGGUUGUAAAGUACUUUCAGCGGGGAGGAAGGUGUUGUGGUUAAUAACCACAGCAAUUGACGUUACCCGCAGAAGAAGCACCGGCUAACUCCGUGCCAGCCGCCGCGGUAAAAC
rnacentral:rRNA from 1 species